rnacentral:rRNA from 1 species
UACGUAGGGGUCGAGCGUUGUCCGGAGUUACUGGGCGUAAAGCGUGUGCAGGCGGCUCAUUGCGCCCGGCGUGAAAGCCCCCGGCUCAACCGGGGAGAGUCGUCGGGGACGGGUGAGCUUGAGGGUAUCAGGGGCUGGUGGAAUUCCCGGUGUAGUGGUGAAAUGCGUAGAUAUCGGGAGGAACACCCGUGGCGAAGGCGGCUCACUGGCCCGAUACUGACGCUGAGGCACGAAAGCGUGGGGAGCAAACAGG